AUCAGAUAACUGGAUGAAGGAUGGUGUUCAUUAUUUAUCUAUAAACACUAUUGCUAAACUGGAACCGGACAAAUGUGUUCACAGGAUGAUGUGCGCCGCUGCAACAGGCCGAAUGAAUACUGAUCGGUUAGAAAACAGCUUAAACCUGAUCGAUGAAGUUAUGAAUGCUGCUCCCUACAGUGUUCAUACAAUCAAAUAUAAAGAAGCAGCACUUUUCGGAGCAGCUUGGCGGGAUAUUCGACAUUGUGAGAAAAGAUAUUCUUGUCCACUGCCUAUGCAAUACAUAGACAAGAUUAUGUAUUAGCUAGAUAAAGCAAGAAAUCCUGAAAUCUUUGUAAUAAUAAAACCUGCAAUGAUAUAUACUUUGGAGAAACAAACUCAGCGAUUACGAGUUCCGGUAUGCUUGAGCUGGACUUAUUUCGUUUUUUCAAAUUGAUAUUUGUAAACCCAAAAAUUCUUGCUAUACCUGUUUUGUUUUUUCAACAACUCGCGUUUGAAUCUAUGAUUUAUUAAAUCAUGAUAUUAAUUUUCAUAUUUUAUAUUUAUUUUACUGUUUUGCUUUUG